rnacentral:rRNA from 1 species
AUGUCGUGGUUAAAGUGCGACAAAAUGACACUGGCGAAAUCAAAAGGCGGCAUGGGGUUCAGAGACAUGAGAGCAUUUAACCAAGCUAUGUUGGCUAAAUAGGCUUGGCGUUUAAUUGAUUCGUCGGAUAAUUUGUGUGCCUGCCUUCUAAAGGCCAAGUAUUAUGUGAAUGGUAAUAUUCUUGAUGUUGUGUUUCCGGCGAACUCAUCGACAGUAUGGAAAGGUAUUGUUUAUGGCCUGGAUCUGGUUAAGAAGGGUAUUAUAUGAAGAGUGGUUGACAGUGCUGCGAUUAAAGCAUGGCGCAAUCCAUGGAUUCCGCAUGGCCAUGAUUACCGGCCGGUUACGCCUAAGCGAAAUUGUAGGUUUAAUCGUGUCUUUGAGUUUCUUGAUACUAAUGGUGCAUGGAAUAUGGAGCGACUUGAAGAGCAUUUUUUGCCUAUGGAUGUGCAUCAUAUUUUAAAAAUUCAGACAUCACCUAGGAAUCGUCAUGAUUUCCUUGCCUGGGCUCCUGAAAAGAAUGGGAGAUUUAUUGUGAAGAGUGCUUACUGGCUGGCUACGCAUGAACAAGAGGAUAAUUUUGCAGGCGAUGCUUCCAGUACCUUCCCGAGUGGUGAGCAUUCUCUAUGGUCGUGUCUCUGGCGAGCGAAAGUUCCCCUCAAGAUGCGGUUCACCGCCUGGAAGGUUGCGGAUGGGGCCGUAGCAACAAAUGAAUGCAAAGUGACUAGACAUCUCUCAAAAUAUGGAACAUGUCUUGUGUGUGGCCUUGAAGUGGCGAGCUCCUUCCAUGCUUUAAUUACAUGCGACCAUGCCAGGGCCCUUUGGGAGGCCAUGCGUGAGUUCUGGCCGCUACCGGUGAUGGACCAACUGAUAGACAAUAGCAAGGAGUGGUUGUUACAUGUUUUAUCUGGAUGUUCUGAUCAAGUUCGUCACAUGGUUAUUUUGCUUAUUUGGCGUAUUUGGAGUCUCCGGUCAGAUAUAACACAUGGCAAGGUAGCUCUCCAUUGGAAAUAA